CACUCUACUUUCAGAUGAAGUGAUGAAACUAGCAUAAUAUUUAUGGAUACCUGCAUAUACUCUAUAAGGUUAUUGAGAGAACAGCAACGGCAUCACCAAGAAUGGAAGACAUAGUACAGCAACACAGUCCUGAAAGAAUUACUAAAGGCGAGCUAAACCCAGAUCUUUGUCCCACCGACUAUCCAACAGUAUUAGCAUUCAGGAAAGAGAUGGCAAAAGAAAGAAUACAGAAAGCAUUGGGAGUAAGCCAGAUCAUAGGAGGACUAUCAAACACUGCUCUGGGUUGCUUGUUGGGAGCUAUCCC